rnacentral:rRNA from 1 species
AGCUCCAAUAGCGUAUAUUAAAUGUGUUGCAGUUAAAAGGCUCGUAGUUUGAAUUAUAACCGGAGCGGUUGGUGUGGCUCUCUGAGUUGUUACUUACAUCGUCUCUGGCCAUCCUUGGGGAUAACCUGUCUGGAAAUAGGUUGUCGGGUAGGGGGUGCUCAUCGUUUACUGUGAAAAAAUUAGAGUGUUCAAAUCAGGCUUACUCCAUUGAAUAUACUAGCAUGGCAUAUUAAUAUAGGACCCUUGUACUAUUUUGUUGGUUUGUGCACGAGGGUAAUGAUUAACAGAGACAAUUGGGGAUAUUUUUAUUUCAGUGGAAGAGGUGAAAUUAUUGGAUUUCUGAAAGACAAGCAACUGCGAAAGCAUUUAUCAAGGAUUUUUCA